rnacentral:rRNA from 1 species
AGUAGACCGCCUGGGGAGUACGGUCGCAAGAUUAAAACUCAAAGGAAUUGACGGGGACCCGCACAAGCGGUGGAUGAUGUGGAUUAAUUCGAUGCAACGCGAAAAACCUUACCUACCCUUGACAUGGAUGGAAUCCUUGAGAGAUUGAGGAGUGCCCGAAAGGGAACCAUUACACAGGUGCUGCAUGGCUGUCGUCAGCUCGUGUCGUGAGAUGUUGGGUUAAGUCCCGCAACGAGCGCAACCCUUGUCAUUAGUUGCUACGAAAGGGCACUCUAAUGAGACUGCCGGUGACAAACCG